AACGCUAGCUACAGGCUUAACACAUGCAAGUCGAGGGGCAGCAUUUUAGUCUCGCUUGCAAACUGAAGAUCGGCGACCGGCGCACGGGCGAGUAACACGUAUCCAACCUGCCGAUAGCUCCGGGAUAGCCUUUCGAAAGAAAGAUUAAUACCGGAUAGUAUACGAAUAUCGCAUGAUAUUUUUAUUAAAGAAUUUCGGUUAUCGAUGGGGAUGCGUUCCAUUAGUUUGUUGGCGGGGUAACGGCCCACCAAGACUACGAUGGGUAGGGGUUCUGAGAGGAAGGUCCCCCACAUUGGAACUGAGACACGGUCCAAACUCCUACGGGAGGCAGCAGUGAGGAAUAUUGGUCAAUGGGCGCGAGCCUGAACCAGCCAAGUAGCGUGAAGGAUGAAGGCUCUAUGGGUCGUAAACUUCUUUUAUAUGGGAAUAAAGUUUUCCACGUGUGGAAUUUUGUAUGUACCAUAUGAAUAAGGAUCGGCUAACUCCGCGCCAGCAGCCGCGGUAAUACGGAGGAUCCGAGCGUUAUCCGGAUUUAUUGGGUUUAAAGGGAGCGUAGGUGGAUUGUUAAGUCAGUUGUGAAAGUUUGCGGCUCAACCGUAAAAUUGCAGUUGAAACUGGCAGUCUUGAGUACAGUAGAGGUGGGCGGAAUUCGUGGUGUAGCGGUGAAAUGCUUAGAUAUCACGAAGAACUCCGAUUGCGAAGGCAGCUCACUAGACUGUCACUGACACUGAUGCUCGAAAGUGUGGGUAUCAAACAGGAUUAGAUACCCUGGUAGUCCACACAGUAAACGAUGAAUACUCGCUGUUUGCGAUAUACAGUAAGCGGCCAAGCGAAAGCAUUAAGUAUUCCACCUGGGGAGUACGCCGGCAACGGUGAAACUCAAAGGAAUUGACGGGGGCCCGCACAAGCGGAGGAACAUGUGGUUUAAUUCGAUGAUACGCGAGGAACCUUACCCGGGCUUAAAUUGCAACAGAAUAUAUUGGAAACAGUAUAGCCGUAAGGCUGUUGUGAAGGUGCUGCAUGGUUGUCGUCAGCUCGUGCCGUGAGGUGUCGGCUUAAGUGCCAUAACGAGCGCAACCCUUAUCUUUGGUUACUAACAGGUUAUGCUGAGGACUCUAGAGAGACUGCCGUCGUAAGAUGUGAGGAAGGUGGGGAUGACGUCAAAUCAGCACGGCCCUUACGUCCGGGGCUACACACGUGUUACAAUGGGGGGUACAGAAGGCGGCUACCUGGUGACAGGAUGCUAAUCCCAAAAACCUCUCUCAGUUCGGAUCGAAGUCUGCAACCCGACUUCGUGAAGCUGGAUUCGCUAGUAAUCGCGCAUCAGCCAUGGCGCGGUGAAUACGUUCCCGGGCCU
rnacentral:rRNA from 1 species